rnacentral:rRNA from 2 species
GGGCCGGGGCGGGGUGCCUAUACAUGCAAGUCGAGCGGACCUUUUAAAAGCUUGCUUUUGAAAGGUCAGCGGCGGACGGGUGAGUAACACGUGGGCAACCUGCCUGUAAGACUGGGAUAACUUCGGGAAACCGGAGCUAAUACCGGAUAAUAUAAGGAACCUCCUGGUUCUUUAUUGAAAGAUGGUUUCGGCUAUCACUUACAGAUGGGCCCGCGGCGCAUUAGCUAGUUGGUGAGGUAACGGCUCACCAAGGCGACGAUGCGUAGCCGACCUGAGAGGGUGAUCGGCCACACUGGGACUGAGACACGGCCCAGACUCCUACGGGAGGCAGCAGUAGGGAAUCUUCCACAAUGGACGAAAGUCUGAUGGAGCAACGCCGCGUGAGCGAUGAAGGCCUUCGGGUCGUAAAGCUCUGUUGUUAGGGAAGAACAAGUGCGAGAGUAACUGCUCGCACCUUGACGGUACCUAACCAGAAAGCCACGGCUAACUACGUGCCAGCAGCCGCGGUAAUACGUAGGUGGCAAGCGUUGUCCGGAAUUAUUGGGCGUAAAGCGCGCGCAGGUGGUCCUUUAAGUCUGAUGUGAAAGCCCACGGCUCAACCGUGGAGGGUCAUUGGAAACUGGGGGACUUGAGUGCAGAAGAGGAAAGUGGAAUUCCAAGUGUAGCGGUGAAAUGCGUAGAGAUUUGGAGGAACACCAGUGGCGAAGGCGACUUUCUGGUC